rnacentral:lncRNA from 1 species
AUUCUCUCAAUUCCCAAACCCAGAGGCCAGGUCUCAAACCCUCAAGUUUCAAUCUCUCAUCCCAAACCUAGAUCUCGAAUUCUCAAGUCUCAAUCUCCCUUCGGCCGACGACAUCGCCUCCCUCGACCCUCAUCGGCUUCGGUGGCUCUUCAUCGGUCAUCACUCAUCAUCACUCAUCCGUCAAUCUCGAAGAGACGAUUAGACGAAGACCCGAUCUCUCGAACUCGAAUUUUGAAAGUAAGUUCUUACUCGAAUUUUGAAUGUUUGAAAUUUGGUUGGAAUUUGGUAAUGAGGAGACCCUUUUUGUGCAAAACUGCAAACUUAAUUUAUAAUUUAUAAUUUUUUUUGUGCAAAACUGUGUAGUGAAUAUAAUUUAUAUACUUAUAUAGGGAUGUAUAUAGAUAAAUUAGAUAUAGAGGGACUGAGGGAGAAGGUUAAUAACAUUUCAUAUCUCGAAAUUAACACCAAGUUACAGUUGAUAGAAUUGAGUAUCUGUUUAGAAUUUGAGGGUCAAAGACUCAAAGUAUCUGUUUAGAAUUGAAUUGAGUCAAUCUUGAUAGAAUUUUUUAGUAGAAUUUUUAGUCCAGUUUGUAAUUUUUUCUUUAGAUUUCUGAGUUUUUAGUUUAUUCUUGCAGAUCUUUGGAUAAGCUAUAGAGAUUCUCCAUUACAUGUUUGCUAUACAUGUUUAGACAGUUUAGUCAUGUUUGCAGAUCUUUACCUUGUAUUAAUUGAAAUAAAGAUGUAAAUAUAUUAUCUGCUUGCAGAUUUUUGAGUUUUUAGUUUAGUCAUGUUUGCAGAUCUUUACAUUGUAUUUGGAAAUUCUCCAUUACAUGUUUGUUAUGCAUAUUAUUACUUGAGCAAUAUUGGAUCAAAAGAUGAAAUGGUUAUUGAACAUUUUGUAUUGAUAGAUGUUUGUUAGAAACCAUGACUAGUUGCUAGAAAGUUUUAUAUCAUUGUUUUGUCGAAUGGUUACAUAUUGAACAUUCGGAUGUUUGCACUGUUCCGUUUUAAUUUCCUAUUAAUUGAAAUAAAGAUGUAAAUAUAUCCUCCUUAUUCUUGAUAAACCUAAAGACAUAUGCCAUACAACUAGAAAUAUAGUAAUAUCUCAAGAGGAAGUAUACAAAAAUAACAACAUAAAAGCAACGCCUAGAACAUAGAGCAAAAUUUAACUGGCCUAAGAAACAUUAAUACUUAUGUUAUUAUUAUACAAUUAUUGUUACAGUCCUUUCAGUUGAUUAUAACAGAACUAACUUGAUAUGGAUUGGUGUACAAUGUAAAGAUACAAAUUAGGUGUCUAACAUGUACAUUAAAAUCUGGAAUGCUAGCGAACCCCAAUGGAGUCUCUGGCUUUUAUGCAGUCCACUCUAUGGCAAUGAAAAUACUGCUAUGAAUGGGCAGCAGCAACAGCAGCAAGCCAGCAACUAGCAAGCGGUAGGAGGUUCAAGCAGCAAAUGGGCAUUAAAAGAACUCAACAGCAGCAGCAACAAAUGGGCAGCAAAUGGGCAACAACAGCUUCAACAGCAGCAGGAACUGUGUUGUUGUUUAUGGAGCAGCAAAUGUAGGAAAUGGGCAACAACAGGAACUCAACAGCAGCAGCAGCAAAUGUAGCAAAUGUUUAUGGUGUUAAUCAUUGUAGGAACUGUGUUGUUGUUUAUGGAUUAUGUUAAUGGAUUGUAGGAACUGUUUUGUUGUUGUUGUUGUUUAUGGAUUAUGUUUAUGGAUUGUAGGAGCUGAACUGUGUUUUUGCUAAAUCUUUUAAAUUCGGUUAUUACAAAUUUCGGUUACUUAUUCGGAUAACUAAAAUAGGCUGUUUUCGGGUUUCGGUUAUAACUGAAAUUCUUGUUCGGUUCGGUUAAUAACCGAAUGAUCACCCCUAGGGACUAGGGAAGAAAAUCCUGGAAAAAAAAAUUCACAUAAAAAUAAGAAAUUGAUAUUUUCACAUAAAAAAUUGAUAUUUUCACAUAAUCUCUCCCAUAUGAAUAGUGAG